CUGUGUACCUGAGGUUUUAUGAAGAUACAACAUGCCAGGAAGUGGCAUCAGAACUUCUGCAAGUACCCAGUGGCUCCUACUGGACUGCACUAUGACUUCAUCUUAGCAGGUGUAAGGAAGAAGAGAAACUUUCACCCCUAUUUUGUGGUGGGAAAACAAAUACUGCCAAGCUAAUAUACUUACACAGGAGAUACUUUUUGAGGAUUAAGGACUAAAAGAAAAAGGACCCACUUGACCAAAUGGUCACUUCAGUCUUUUACUGAUAAUACUUGCCUUCUGGAAUCCCAGAUCUUUGUGGCUCAUGAGAAAAUCUAGAGCAAGGAAAACUUGCCUUAGGUGCAGGAAAAUCAGGAAAAAGAACACUUAAGCAAAAUGGACACAUACAAGCUCAUACAAACUCUGGUAGACUUGAUCACUGUGUUGCCAUUCAGAAGAAUUCAGACAAGUAGAACAAAUGGACCAGUAUGGACCUAAUGGUGUUCAACAAAGGGAGAUGCAAAGUUGUCAAGUUGAGAAAUCAUGCUCUAGUAUAUGUUGGGAGUGGGCAGGCUAGAAAGCAACUUGGUAGAAAAAGACACAUGGGAUUUGGUGGACAGCAAGUUGACCAUGAACCAAUGUGUCCUUGCAGCUAAAAAGGCCAACAGCUUCCUUAGCUGCAUUAGGAAGAGCGUUGCCGGGAAUGAUGAUUCUUUUUCAGCGGUAGCAAGAGACCUCUUGGGAGUUUCAUCCAGAUCUUUGGCUCCUCUGUAGAAGGAUAUGGGCAUAUUGUAACUAUGUCCAGGAGUUGGACUCGAUGGUCCUUUUGAAUCUCAUCCAACUCAAGAUAUUUUAUGAAAAUGAUUUGGACUCUGGAGCAUCUGACAUGUGGCAAUUGUCAUUGUUGGAAUUGUUCAGCUUGGAGAAGAAUAUGGGGGAUAUUAACAGUAUGCAAAAUACUUGAUAAGAAGGCAUAAAGGCUACAGAGCCAGACUCUACUCAGUAAUUCCCAGCGGCAGAUGAUGAAGAAAUGGGCACAAACUGAAACAAAGGACAAUCCAUUUAAACGGGGAGCCAGGGGAACAACUUUUUCAUUGUAAGGGCGCUGGAAUAGAAUGCCUAGAGAGCAUGUAGAGUCUUCACUCUUCAAGAUGCUUGAAACCUAUCUGAGCAAUUUUUAUGCUCUAAGCACACCCACUCUGAGCCCAGAGGGCUGGACAUGAGCACCUCCAAAGGUGCCUUUUAGCCUCAGCUGCUCUGUGACUCUGUGGGUCCUGCAGAGCUCAUGGAGUGGAACAGGGCUGUGGUUUGGUUGAUGAUUUCUUCCACCAAGUGUUAAUGCU